GAUGAAGAACGUAGCGAAAUGCGAUACUUGGUGUGAAUUGCAGAAUCCCGUGAACCAUCGAGUCUUUGAACGCAAGUUGCGCCUCAAGCCAUUAGGUUGAGGGCACGUCUGCCUGGGCGUCACAUAUCGUUGCCUGAUGCCAGUUUCCUCGUGAUGGGUGACUGUGCAGGGCGAAUGAUGGCUUCCCGUGAGCAUUGUUGCCUCAUGGUUGGUUGAAAAUUGAGUCCUUGGUAGGGAGCGCCGUGAUAGAUGGUGGUUGAGUGACGAACGAGACCCAAUCAUGUGAGACCCCUACCGAAUUUGGCCUCCAUGACCCACAUGCGUCUUUGGAACGCUCAUGACGAGACCUCAGGUCAGGCGGGGCUACCCGCUGAGUUUAAGCAUAUCAAUAAGCGGAGGA
rnacentral:misc_RNA from 1 species